rnacentral:rRNA from 1 species
GACGAACGCUGGCGGCGUGCUUAACACAUGCAAGUCGAACGGAAAGGCCCUGCUUGCAGGGUCCUCGAGGGGCGAACGGGUGAGUAACACGGGGGUGAUCUGCCCUGUACUUCGGGGUAAGCCUUGGAAACUGGGUCUAAUACCGGAUAGGAGCCAUGAUUUGUGGGUGGGAGGGAAAGUUUUUUCGGUGUAGGAUGAGCUCGCGGCCUAUUAGCCUGUUGGUGGGGUAGUGGCCUACCAAGGCGGCGACGGGUAGCCGGCCUGAGAGUGUGGACGGCCACACUGGGACUGAGAUACGGCCCAGACUCCUAAGGGAGGCAGCAGUGGGGAAUAUUGCACCAUGGGCGCAAGCCUGAUGCAGCGACGCCGCGUGGGGGAUGACGGCCUUCGGGUUGUAAAAUCCUUUCGCUAGGGAAGAAGCUUUUUGUGACGGUACCUAGAGAAGAAGCACCGGCUAACUACGUG